GAGGAUUUAUUAUUUGUAAGGGAAAUAUGUUGCAUGAUGUUCUUACUUGGUUAAUUUCGCCUAUUGAAUGCCACGUUAAUCUGCAUUCAUAAUUGUUUUUGAAAUAAUCCGGUAACAGCGAAAAACAGUGGCUACAAAGUUUUUCUGUGCCACCUUUUUUUACGUAAUUUGAUGUAAUGUUGGGUAGUAAUGCAAAAUACCAUAAUUUAAGUAUUUUUUUAUAAAUUUCGCGGUGAUUGUUCGACAGUACUCCAUCAAUAUCGCCAAUGUGCCUUACGUUCGGGUCUUGUUAAAUAUAAUUAUAAAAAUGAUACUCAGGUGGAGUUUAAUUUCUACAUUUUUUCCUACUUUACUUGCUGGUUUUCUUCAAAGAAAUCUGGUCAGUAUUAAAAUAUCUUCUGAACCUAACGGUUCAGCUAAAAUUAAAAGGAAUAUACUGCCUUAAAAAUGGAUUGUGGUGUAAAGUUCGAGGAGAGAAAAAAUUUAGGAUGGAGGGCUCCAUGGGACUUUGUUCUCGGAGGAGCUUUUGCGCUUUUAACAAUUGCUUGUGGAACACGAAUUCAGUGUCCACUAUAUUGGUCGUUGUUUAAUGCUGAUGAGCAAAACGAGUUGAAAGAUAAUUUUUAAGAACAGUUCCUUGAUUAAGAGCUGUAUGGAGCUUUUCAUAUAAGGGACCGCUUUUGUGCCUUAUUCAAUAAUAAGGGUGGAUACUUCUAUUUGAAAGUGAUUGCAAAUGGCCAGGUUAAAUGGUUAGAUAAUGGUAAAAGGGAGGCUGUGCCGAAAAUGAAUUUUGUCAGGCAUAACGGAAAAAAAAUUCGCUGGGCAGACGACUGGGCCUGGGAUGUGAGGCGAUUUAGAUGGUCCCGAAUGCAAACGGUGGCAAAACAGUUAAGCGGCAAACACGGUUUGACUGAGAAUUAUAUUGUCGCACGUAGCUUAUGGCGAAUUGUAAAUGGACAAUUCAGUGAGGUUGGACAUAAGAAUAUAAGAUGGCAGGAUCAAUAAAAAUCUGAAUCAAAAAUUUAAUUUUAUGUGACAUAUAUAUCGUUUAGAAGGAAGGACCAUAAAAAAGACUUCCCACUUGUAAUAAUAAAUAAGAAAAAUUAACUUGUACUUAUUUAGCUAUAUUAGGGCUUUUUACUUUUUAUAUGUUUUUUCUUG